UUCACACAUCACAACCACCUCCACUUCCCCAUACCUUCCCUUCCACCUUCCACCCUGAGGAAUCAGCCAGCCUGAAGGAGUGGGGCAGAGAGCAGAAGCCUGCCCUUCCAUAACAGAUCUGCGGCUGGGAGGGAGAGGAGAAGGGACUUCUCCUAGAAUGGAAAUGGUGUGCUGAUUCAUACCUUGGACUAGACAUUUAGAAAUUUGAGACUUCUUGUGACUUAAACUGCCUGUUCUACCAGGAGACAACACUCCCUGAGGACUCCACUGUUAGGCAGUGAGCAAGAGCUGGGCCUUUGGAGAAGAGGAGCAUAUGAAGGCAAACAGCCGAUGAGGAAACGGAGGCUCAGGGAAAUUAA
rnacentral:lncRNA from 1 species